rnacentral:rRNA from 1 species
GAACGCUAGCGACAGGCUUAACACAUGCAAGUCGAGGGGCAGCACAGGCAGCAAUACCGGGUGGCGACCGGCGCACGGGUGAGUAACGCGUAUGCAACUUGCCUAUCAGAGGGGGAUAACCCGGCGAAAGUCGGACUAAUACCGCAUGAAGCAGGGGCCCCGCAUGGGGAUAUUUGCUAAAGAUUCAUCGCUGAUAGAUAGGCAUGCGUUCCAUUAGGCAGUUGGCGGGGUAACGGCCCACCAAACCGACGAUGGAUAGGGGUUCUGAGAGGAAGGUCCCCCACAUUGGUACUGAGACACGGACCAAACUCCUACGGGAGGCAGCAGUGAGGAAUAUUGGUCAAUGGCCGAGAGGCUGAACCAGCCAAGUCGCGUGAGGGAUGAAGGUUCUAUGGAUCGUAAACCUCUUUUAUAAGGGAAUAAAGUGCGGGACGUGUCCCGUUUUGUAUGUACCUUAUGAAUAAGGAUCGGCUAACUCCGUGCCAGCAGCCGCGGUAAUACGGAGGAUCCGAGCGUUAUCCGGAUUUAUUGGGUUUAAAGGGUGCGUAGGCGGCCUUUUAAGUCAGCGGUGAAAGUCUGUGGCUCAACCAUAGAAUUGCCGUUGAAACUGGGGGGCUUGAGUAUGUUUGAGGCAGGCGGAAUGCGUGGUGUAGCGGUGAAAUGCAUAGAUAUCACGCAGAACCCCGAUUGCGAAGGCAGCCUGCCAAGCCAUUACUGACGCUGAUGCACGAAAGCGUGGGGAUCAAACAGGAUUAGAUACCCUGGUAGUCCACGCAGUAAACGAUGAUCACUAGCUGUUUGCGAUACACUGUAAGCGGCACAGCGAAAGCGUUAAGUGAUCCACCUGGGGAGUACGCCGGCAACGGUGAAACUCAAAGGAAUUGACGGGGGCCCGCACAAGCGGAGGAACAUGUGGUUUAAUUCGAUGAUACGCGAGGAACCUUACCCGGGUUUGAACGCAUUCGGACCGAGGUGGAAACACCUUUUCUAGCAAUAGCCGUUUGCGAGGUGCUGCAUGGUUGUCGUCAGCUCGUGCCGUGAGGUGUCGGCUUAAGUGCCAUAACGAGCGCAACCCUCGCCACUAGUUACUAACAGGUUAGGCUGAGGACUCUGGUGGGACUGCCAGCGUAAGCUGCGAGGAAGGCGGGGAUGACGUCAAAUCAGCACGGCCCUUACAUCCGGGGCGACACACGUGUUACAAUGGCGUGGACAAAGGGAUGCCACCUGGCGACAGGGAGCGAAUCCCCAAACCACGUCUCAGUUCGGAUCGGAGUCUGCAACCCGACUCCGUGAAGCUGGAUUCGCUAGUAAUCGCGCAUCAGCCAUGGCGCGGUGAAUACGUUCCCGGGCCUUGUACACACCGCCCGUCAAGCCAUGGGAGCCGGGGGUACCUGAAGUCCGUAACCGAAAGGAUCGGCCUAGGGUAAAACUGGUGACUGGGG